rnacentral:rRNA from 1 species
AGAGUUUGAUCAUGGCUCAGAACGAACGCUGGCGGCAGGCUUAACACAUGCAAGUCGAACGGGCGUAGCAAUACGUCAGUGGCAGACGGGUGAGUAACACGUGGGAACCUUCCUAGGGGUACGGAACAACUCAGGGAAACUUGAGCUAAUACCGUAUACGUCCGUGAGGAGAAAGAUUUAUCGCCCUUAGACGGGCCCGCGUCGGAUUAGCUAGUUGUGGGGUAACGGCCUACCAAGGCGACGAUCCGUAGCUGAUCUGAGAGGAUGAUCAGCCACACUGGGACUGAGACACGGCCCAGACUCCUACGGGAGGCAGCAGUGGGGAAUCUUGGACAAUGGGCGCAAGCCUGAUCCAGCCAUGCCGCGUGAGUGAAGAAGGCCUUCGGGUUGUAAAGCUCUUUGUCAGGGACGAUAAUGACGGUACCUGAAGAAUAAGCCCCGGCAAACUUCGUG